rnacentral:rRNA from 1 species
UACGAAGGGGGCGAGCGUUGUUCGGAAUUACUGGGCGUAAAGCGUGCGCAGGCGGUUUUGUAAGCCAGAUGUGAAAGCCCCGGGCUUAACCUGGGAAUGGCAUUUGGGACUGCAAGGCUUGAGUGCGGCAGAGGAGACUGGAAUUCCUGGUGUAGCAGUGAAAUGCGUAGAUAUCAGGAGGAAUACCGAUGGCGAAGGCAGGUCUCUGGGCUGACACUGACGCUCAUGCACGAAAGCGUGGGGAGCAAACAGG